rnacentral:rRNA from 1 species
AGCGAACGCUGGCGGCAGGCCUAACACAUGCAAGUCGAACGAACCCUUCGGGGUUAGUGGCGGACGGGUGAGUAACACGUGGGAACGUGCCUUUAGGUUCGGAAUAACUCAGGGAAACUUGUGCUAAUACCGAAUGUGCCCUUCGGGGGAAAGAUUUAUCGCCUUUAGAGCGGCCCGCGUCUGAUUAACUAGUUGGUGAGGUAAUGGCUCACCAAGGCUACGAUCAGUAGCUGGUCUGAGAGGAUGACCAGCCACAUUGGGACUGAGACACGGCCCAAACUCCUACGGGAGGCAGCAGUGGGGAAUCUUGCGCAAUGGGCGAAAGCCUGACGCAGCCAUGCCGCGUGGAUGAUGAAGGUCUUAGGAUUGUAAAAUCCUUUCGCCGGUGAAGAUAAUGACUGUAGCCGGAGAAGAAGCCCCGGCUAACUUCGUGCCAGCAGCCGCGGUAACAC